UACGUAGGGUGCGAGCGUUAAUCGGAAUUACUGGGCGUAAAGCGUGCGCAGGCGGUUACAUAAGCCAGAUGUGAAAUCCCCGGGCUUAACCUGGGAACUGCAUUUGGGACUGUGUGGCUUGAGUAUGGCAGAGGGAGGUGGAAUUCCACGUGUAGCAGUGAAAUGCGUAGAGAUGUGGAGGAACACCGAUGGCGAAGGCAGCCUCCUGGGCCAAUACUGACGCUAAUGCACGAAAGCGUGGGGAGCAAACAGG
rnacentral:rRNA from 1 species